rnacentral:lncRNA from 1 species
GCUGCUGUUCACGUUUUUCAGGAAUGGGUCUAUAAGUGCCUGUGGUGAUAGGGUUAGUUCCUGUAUACCACAAAAGUGAGAAGAAUGAGAAUAGUCACUAUGACCUUCUCAUACCUUUGUGUGAAGUUGUGUGAGACAGUGAGUUAAAGGGAGUUCAGAAGAGGUUAUAGAAUCCCCUGGAACUGAAAUUUCAGAUGGUUGUGAACUACCAUGUGGGUGCUGGAAACUGAAUCUGCAAGAAUAGUAAGUGCUUUUAUUCUUAGAGCCAUCUCUCCAGCCCUUGAAUUUUUUCAGACAACUUUUCAUGUAGUCCAGGUUUUGUACUUCCAAAGAACUGGGAUUACAGCUGUGUGCCACUAAACCUAGUUUAUGUGAUGUUGAGAAUUAAACUCAGGGUUCUGUCCAUGCUGGCCAUUUUACCUACUGAGCUACAUUUCUAGUUCUUGAACUAAAACAAAUAAUUAUAUAGGAGAAACAAAGAUGAUUUGUGACUUUAGUUUCCAAUUGUAGCAAGAGAAUGAAAAAUUGAAAUAUUUUUCCAAUGCUAUGAAAUCAUUCAUCUAUUUUCUGCCUAUGAAUUUUCUUAUUCUGAAUAUUUCAGAUGAAUGGAAUAAUUUAUCACAUGGUCUCUUUUGACUGAACUUUUUAAGUUAGCAUCACGUUAUUAAGGUUCAUCUAUGAUGUAGCAUGUUCUUCUUACGAGUGGAUAAUACUUCCUUGUAUGACCAUUGCAUACACUAGCAAGAUUUUGCUAAAAAGACCCAGAUAUAGCUGUCUCUUGUGAGACUAUGCCG